rnacentral:rRNA from 1 species
UACGGAGGGUGCGAGCGUUACUCGGAUUUACUGGGCGUAAAGGGCGUGUAGGCGGCUUUUUAAGUCCGGGGCUAAAGACCAGGGCUCAACCCUGGAUUUGCCUUGGAUACUGGAAAGCUCGACUGCUGGAGAGGGCAGUGGAAUUUCCGGAGUAGCGGUGAAAUGCGCAGAUACCGGAAGGAACGCCAAUAGCGAAGGCAGCUGCCUGGGCAGUACGUGACGCUGAGGCGAGAAAGCGUGGGGAGCAAACCGG